rnacentral:lncRNA from 1 species
AGCAAGUUGAAGUCUUUGAGGUGAGGAACCUCCGAGCAAGGUGAAGUCUUUGAGGUGAGGAAACUCCGAGCAAGUUGAAGUCUUUGAAGUGAGGAACCUCCGAGCAAGUUGAUGUCUUUGAGGUGAGGAACCUCCGAGCAAGUGUCUGAGAUUUGUGUGAUUCAAGUCUCAAGUGUAAAGGUUUGUUGGGCACCUUAAGCUUGACAAGGUUGUUAGUGGAAAUAUCGAGAGAGUCUCUCGGGGACUGGACUAACCACAAAGUGUGGCCAACCAGUAUAUAUCGUGGUGUAAUUUAUUUUUACUGCAUUUGNNN